UACGUAGGGGGCGAGCGUUGUCCGGAAUUACUGGGCGUAAAGGGCACGCAGGCUGUGAUUCAAGUCAGCUGUAAAAGGAUGCGGCUUAACCGUGUUUAGCAGUUGAAACUGGAUGACUGGAGUGCUGGAGAGGCAAGUGGAAUUCCCAGUGUAGCGGUGAAAUGCGUAGAUAUUGGGAAGAACAUCGGUGGCGAAGGCGACUUGCUGGCCAGUAACUGACGCUGAGGUGCGAAAGCCAGGGUAGCAAACGGG
rnacentral:rRNA from 1 species